ACGGCGAGUGAAGCGGCAACAGCUCAAAUUUGAAAGCUGGCCCCCCCGGGGGUCCGCGUUGUAAUUUGUAGAGGAUGAUUCGGCGAGGGCUCCCGCCUAAGUCCCCUGGAACGGGGCGUCAUAGAGGGUGAGAAUCCCGUAUGCGGUGGGCUGCCUUAGCCAUGUGAAUCUCCUUCGACGAGUCGAGUUGUUUGGGAAUGCAGCUCUAAAUGGGAGGUAAAUUUCUUCUAAAGCUAAAUACCGGCCAGAGACCGAUAGCGCACAAGUAGAGUGAUCGAAAGAUGAAAAGCACUUUGGAAAGAGAGUUAAAAAGUACGUGAAAUUGUUGAAAGGGAAGCGCUUGCAGCCAGACUUGUCCGCAGUUGCUCAGCCGGUCUCCUGACCGGCGCACUCUUCUGCGGCCAGGCCAGCAUCAGUUCGGGCGGUCGGAUAAAGGCCCCGGGAACGUAGCUCCUCUCGGGGAGUGUUAUAGCCCGGGGUGGAAUGCGGCCAGCCUGGACUGAGGAUCUCGCUUCGGCUAGGAUGCUGGCGUAAUGGCUGUAAGCGGCCCGUCUUGAAACACGGACCAAGGAGUCUAACAUCUAUGCGAGUGUUUGGGUGUCAAACCCAUGCGCGUAAUGAAAGUGAACGGAGGUGGGAACCCUCGCGGGUGCACCAUCGACCGAUCCUGAUGUCUUCGGAUGGAUUUGAGUAAGAGCAUAGCUGUUGGGACCCGAAAGAUGGUGAACUAUGCCUGAAUAGGGUGAAGCCAGAGGAAACUCUGGUGGAGGCUCGCAGCGGUUCUGACGUGCAAAUCGAUCGUCAAAUUUGGGUAUAGGGGCGAAAGACUAAUCGAACCAUCGACUACUAGGUGGUUAAGAGGUGGCUGAAAGUGCCCACCUAGUCCCCCCGUCCUCGGACGGGGGGGCGACAUCGCCAAAUUGCGGGGACUCCCUUAGAGCCUCUACUACCGCGGCCGGCCGAAAGGCGCGGUGCAGCACCGGGUUAAUUGCCUAGGGUACGGUAAAAAGGUAGAGGAUUGGGAAAUCCGCAGCCAAGCGCCUAAGUCCCGCGGGAUACGGCGAAGGUUCAGAGACUAGAUGGCGGUGGG
rnacentral:sRNA from 1 species